rnacentral:rRNA from 1 species
CGGACGAGAAGCUUGCUUCUCUGAUGUUAGCGGCGGACGGGUGAGUAACACGUGGAUAACCUACCUAUAAGACUGGGAUAACUUCGGGAAACCGGAGCUAAUACCGGAUAAUAUUUUGAACCGCAUGGUUCAAAAGUAAAAGACGGUCUUGCUGUCACUUAUAGAUGGAUCCGCGCUGCAUUAGCUAGUUGGUAAGGUAACGGCUUACCAAGGCAACGAUGCAUAGCCGACCUGAGAGGGUGAUCGGCCACACUGGAACUGAGACACGGUCCAGACUCCUACGGGAGGCAGCAGUAGGGAAUCUUCCGCAAUGGGCGAAAGCCUGACGGAGCAACGCCGCGUGAGUGAUGAAGGUCUUCGGAUCGUAAAACUCUGUUAUUAGGGAAGAACAUAUGUGUAAGUAACUGUGCACAUCUUGACGGUACCUAAUCAGAAAGCCACGGCUAACUACGUGCCAGCAGCCGCGGUAAUACGUAGGUGGCAAGCGUUAUCCGGAAUUAUUGGGCGUAAAGCGCGCGUAGGCGGUUUUUUAAGUCUGAUGUGAAAGCCCACGGCUCAACCGUGGAGGGUCAUUGGAAACUGGAAAACUUGAGUGCAGAAGAGGAAAGUGGAAUUCCAUGUGUAGCGGUGAAAUGCGCAGAGAUAUGGAGGAACACCAGUGGCGAAGGCGACUUUCUGGUCUGUAACUGACGCUGAUGUGCGAAAGCGUGGGGAUUAAACAGGAUUAGAUACCCUGGUAGUCCACGCCGUAAACGAUGAGUGCUAAGUGUUAGGGGGUUUCCGCCCCUUAGUGCUGCAGCUAACGCAUUAAGCACUCCGCCUGG